UACGUAGGGUGCGAGCGUUAAUCGGAAUUACUGGGCGUAAAGCGUGCGCAGGCGGUCUCGCAAGUCCGAUGUGAAAUCCCCGGGCUUAACCUGGGAAGUGCGCUUGAAACUAGCGGGCUUGAGUGUGGCAGAGGGGAGUGGAAUUCCACGUGUAGCAGUGAAAUGCGUAGAGAUGUGGAGGAACACCGAUGGCGAAGGCAGCCCCCUGGGUCAACACUGACGCUCAUGCACGAAAGCGUGGGGAGCAAACAGG
rnacentral:rRNA from 1 species